rnacentral:rRNA from 1 species
UAGGGAAUCUUCGGCAAUGGGGGGAACCCUGACCGAGCAACGCCGCGUGAGUGAAGAAGGUUUUCGGAUCGUAAAGCUCUGUUGUUAAGGAAGAACGAGUGUGAGAAUGGAAAGUUCAUGCUGUGACGGUACUUAACCAGAAAGGGACGGCUAACUACGUGCCAGCAGCCGCGGUAAUACGUAGGUCCCGAGCGUUGUCCGGAUUUAUUGGGCGUAAAGCGAGCGCAGGCGGUUAGAAAAGUCUGAAGUGAAAGGCAGUGGCUCAACCAUUGUAGGCUUUGGAAACUGUUUGACUUGAGUGCAGAAGGGGAGGGUGGAAUUCCAUGUGUAGCGGUGAAAUGCGUAGAUAUAUGGAGGAACACCGAUGGCGAAAGCGGCUCUCUGGUCUGUAACUGACGCUGAGGCUCGAAAGCGUGGGGAGCGAACAGG